rnacentral:tRNA from 1 species
UCCCUGGAGGUGUAGUGGCUAGGAGUUCACCCUCCCAGUGCUGGUGGCCCGGGUUCCAUCCCUGAUCAGGGAACUA